CGCGCCCGUCAAACUGAGACGGGGGGGGCGCGCUCGCCUGCGAGUAGCCGAGCUGCUGCGGCGUGGGGGGGGGGGGGUUGGAACGCAGGGCCUCCCGGUGCAGCUCCACCGUGGGGACGCACGGCCUCCUGGUGCAGCUCCACCGUGGGGACGCAGGGCCUCUUGGUACCAUUCUGCGCUGGAGCCGCACGGUCCGUCGUGGGGACGGGGACCUCUCCCAGUGCCGCUCCGUGCUGGGACCAAAAGGCUUUCUAGGGCAGCUCCGCCUUGGGGUUGCGAGGCCUCCUGGUGCAGUACGGCACUGGGGAAACUGAGGCGGAGAGCCCUGACUUGUCCAAGAAUGCCCAGCAGGGCAGGGGUGGCGCAGAAACUGGAACCCAGGCCGCCUGAGACCCAGCCCAACAGCAUUUUGGCCCUAGUGAUCAACAGAGAUCGAUGAGAGGGGGAGCUCUCUAGGGAGGAGGUGACUGUAACCCCUUUUUGGUCCCAUCCCGAUGACAGAGGAAGACGGAUCUCUGCCCUGGGAAGUUCACAGACCACACGGUGGCAGGACAUUCCCUUAAAGCUCUGCCCCCUUUCAGAAAAAAUAUUACCCAAGCCUCCCUGUGGACAGAAAAUCUGAAGUAACCAACAGAGCAGCAUUUACCCCUAAGGGGUAGGAGGAUGGACUUGGGGUAACUGCUGCCUGUCUUUUGGGAACCCCACGUGAAGGGCCUUGGCCUGACUUUCAAAGGCACUGCGUGCUCACUGCCACCGCUGACUUCCACAGUAGAGAGACAAGACAGACAAUUUGACCAAGACAACUUGGUGCAUAAUCUUUAGGACCUAGCUCAGAGGUGGGCAAACUACAGCCUGCAGGACCGUCCUACCUGGCCCUUGAGCUCCCGGCCGGGGAGGCUCGCCCCCAGCCCCUUCCCUGCUGUCCCCCCUCUCCCGCAGCUACACCGCUGCGUGGGCAGCGCUCUGGGCGGCGGAGUUGUGCGCUCCUGCCGAGCAGAGCGGCAGCGUGUCUAGCUCCAGCUGGGCGGUGCGGCUGCCAGACAUGCUGCUCUGAACGGCAUGUAGCAUCAAGAGUCUCCGACAGAGAUGUGGGCCCCCAGCAUGCCAGGCAGACAAUCCCUGAGAAGAGCUCACACUUAGAGGAGGAUGGAAGGGGGAAACUAAGGCACAGAAAGAGCAAACAGACAGGACCUUCUGUCCAACGGUUGGGGCAACGCUGGGGAAGGAUUGGAAGGACUUUGAUCUACUAGUGCCCCAGAAAACUGAUGGUGACCUCUGGUAAGCUUUUAGCAUAUAGGAACGCUGAUUGUUUUUUUAUAUUUUCUCUAUAAUGCUUUUAACUUAAGAAUGAAUGUGCUUGCUUGGAAAGGGCUGUGUGAUGACACUCAGAGAGAAAGCAAAGCAUAGGUGCUGGUCUCUAGGCAGACUGACAUGCCGGGGAUAUCACAGAGUAAGGCAGAGAGCAAUACAGCCUUAAAACCCCCGGGGUCAGUGAGGAAUGGGACAAGAAACAGGUGAUGGCUGGAGACCUGAUUGGGAGUUCCAGGCACAGUUACUCUGAAAUUGUGACAUCUGGCUCUGAUAUUGAUUCUCUUCUGUGACCACAGACAAGAUAUUUCCCUCUCGGCCUUGUAAAAUGGGGAGAACGCUCUCUAACUUUGCCGGAAGUCUGUGAAUUGCUUAGUGAAUGUAAAGCUCACUGAAGAUAAAACAAAAUAUUAUUGAAGUGCUAAUUAAUUGAUAUUAAGAAUACUAUCCCAGAACAAUGAUGCAAAAAGAUUUAAAGCCAAACUCUUCCCAUGAUGCCACUUCCAAGUUUGUUCCUGAAAACUGUACCAACAGGUCAAAUGAUAUUGUACAAGAACAGCACAAUCUA